rnacentral:rRNA from 1 species
UACGUAGGUGGCAAGCGUUGUCCGGAAUUACUGGGCGUAAAGGGCGUGUAGGCGGGGAAGCAAGUCAGAUGUGAAAUUCCGAGGCUUAACCUCGGCGCUGCAUCUGAAACUGUUUCUCUUGAGUGCUGGAGAGGAAAGUGGAAUUCCCAGUGUAGCGGUGAAAUGCGUAGAGAUUGGGAGGAACACCAGUGGCGAAGGCGGCUUUCUGGACAGUAACUGACGCUGAGGCGCGAAAGCGUGGGGAG